AUUAAGAAAACACUGAGAUGGUGCAAUCAUAUAUAGUGAAGAACAUCGAAGGGCAGUAACCCACUAACUUAUGCCUGAGUUAGUGGGCUGAAUGGAAAGGCAAACCUCUCCCCAACAGGACAAGGCAUUCAUGGCAUAAUUUUGAUCGAAGAAGUCACUGACUAUGUUUUCCAUGGCAGAUGGAGGUUACUUGGACUAAAAUGCAACGUAUGUUAGACUUGGCUUCGUACUAGUCAAACGCUUGAUGGUGCAACACGAAUCUGCAAUAUGCUGUAAGAUUUCAUUUGAUAGAGACUCGGUUUUGUUUCACUUAUUAUUUUCUACCCUCUGGUUAAAACACGUAUGUUGAAACCAAAGCGAGUAAAUGGAAUUAUGCUUUUCACAACUUCAACACGAUCUCAAGGCCAGAAUGCUGGCAUAUGAUUGAGAGCGAACUAGAGGCUCUAACUGUAAACCCUCCAAGUGAAAACCUACAAAGUUGGCCUGGAACAGAGUCUAGCCCCAUUUCCAAGGAGGACCUGUGUGCACAAUGCGAACAGACAAUAUGGGCAUCAUUAUCGUCAUCAUCAUCAUCAUCAUCAAAGGGUUCGUAUAGCCUGAGUAGGAAGAGGUAAGAGACGCCAAGACACAGGGUAUGGCGCUGGAGGCUAAUGGCUGUGUCAGGUUUACCUUAGUAGCAUAAGACUACUCUUAAAGGCUGUCGAGGGCUUGGAAGACUCGAGAAUUCCUUGUCUUAAGAGACAGAUUGAAAAAGCAUCGCACUGCUCGCCUGCUGGCUUGGCCUCCUAAGGGCCUUUUUUCCUUUCCCUUCACAGCGUUAAGCUUGAUUGGCCAUUAGUGAGAGAUCAGGAGAAUGAUUCAUUUAAUUUUACCUUUCUAGUUGUGGAACAAGGAUAUCGAUUUUCAGAGGACAAUUCAAUUACAUUUUGAUGUGUUUGAUACAAACUGCGUUGAGUGGAAAUGGCAAACCUAUAUAAAUUAUGGCGCAGAAGCAGAUUUGGAAAAGAACAGUCAGGAGCGACAGGAGAGAAAUCUGGAGAACAUACCAACAUGAGGGAUGAAAAGGAGGGAAGAACCAUCAAAACUCUUCUUGAAGCACAGGCAGAAGACUGGUUUAAAACCAGGAGAUGGAAGGUUCAGUUAUCUAGUGACGGCUUGCUCAUGACAGCUUGCUCGUUCAUAUGAUUAUCACAUAAACGUUUCUGUGCUCACACGAAAGAAGAUCCAAACACUUUUCGCUCCAAACAGUUUCUAAACGAUUGCUCAAUAGUCCAAACCUCGCACAAGUAGAAAAGCUUUAUUCGUUCGAUCAAUAUUUUGCCUGUGGAUAUUGUUUUAAGGUUUUGAUUACAUAACAGUCACAAAAUUAUCCAUUGAGGCUGCAAUGACUUGUUAAACGGGAAACGUUCCAGAAAGGGGUUGUUCUUUCAUGCCUUCUGCAGUCGAAUUUGAUAUCCAAUAAGGGGAAAACAGAAAGUAAAGAACACUUAUUCAUUUCUUAGGAUCCAUAGCUAUCGACUUUGUUCGGGGGAAAAACACAGUAGUCGAGUCAGAACAGAUCUGAGCAAAGCUGGAGCCUUAUUCAGACUUUUCCAUUAAUCUACAAUCGCGGAAAACAGCAAUUAGGAAUAUUACAUUCAGUGCUUACAGAUUCAGAAGCCCGUAUCCCAUUUUAAAUAUCGGCUUAGUACAGAACUAUUACGCUCUUGAAGAGAUAAGCUGUGCGAGUAGUUGAUGAACGACUGGGGAGGUCACGAACUGAGAUCUAGAAAUAAGGAAAAACUUUUGCAAUACUAACCUCUCUAACACGUUUUUGAUUAGACACGAGAAAAAAACCAAUAAUAUAUACAUUAUGCUAGAAGUUUGCUACCUGGCUUCGAAAAAAGAUUGAAGAAUCUGUAAAAUGCAAGUUUUACAUUUUUAUAUUGAGACCGGCGACUUGAUGGCUAAUGCUUUCGUGGUUUCCUUUUUCAAUGUAGUUUUUAAAGAACAUGCUCUGAAUAUUCCGUGUUGUA
rnacentral:lncRNA from 1 species